rnacentral:rRNA from 1 species
AAUAUUGCGCAAUGGAGGAAACUCUGACGCAGCGACGCCGCGUGAGCGAUGAAGGUUUUCGGAUCNUAAAGCUCUGUCCUUGGGAANAAGGUCUUCGGACUUGACGGUACCCAAGAAGAAAGCCCCGGCUAACUGCGUGCCAGCAGCCGCGGUAAUACGAAGGGGGCUAGCGUUGUUCGGAAUUACUGGGCGUAAAGCGCACGUAGGCGGAUUAUUAAGUCAGGGGUGAAAUCCCGCAGCUCAACUGCGGAACUGCCUUUGAUACUGGUAAUCUAGAGACCGAGAGAGGUAAGUGGAACUCCUAGUGUAGAGGUGGAAUUCGUAGAUAUUAGGAAGAACACCAGUGGCGAAGGCGGCUUACUGGCUCGGAACUGACGCUGAGGUGCGAAAGCGUGGGGAGCAAAC